rnacentral:rRNA from 1 species
UACAGAGGGUGCAAACGUUGCUCGGAAUCAUUGGGCGUAAAGCGCACGUAGGCGGCCCAGCAAGCGGGGAGUGAAAGCCCUCGGCUUAACCGAGGAAGUGCUUUCCGAACUACUGGGCUUGAAUACUGGAGAGGGUCGCGGAAUUCCCGGUGUAGAGGUGAAAUUCGUAGAUAUUGGGAAGAACACCAGUGGCGAAGGCGGCUAUCUGGACCGGUACUGACGCUGAGGUGCGAAAGCGUGGGGAGCGAACAGG